rnacentral:rRNA from 1 species
CCUACGGGUGACAGCAGUGAGGAAUAUUGGUCAAUGGGCUUACGCCUGAACCAGCCAAGUCGCGUGAGGGAAGACUGCCCUAUGGGUUGUAAACCUCUUUUGUCAGGGAGCAACGCCGGCUACGUGUAGCCGGACUGAGAGUACCUGAAGAAAAAGCAUCGGCUAACUCCGUGCCAGCAGCCGCGGUAAUACGGAGGAUGCGAGCGUUAUCCGGAUUUAUUGGGUUUAAAGGGUGCGUAGGCGGAAUGCCAAGUCAGCGGUAAAAUGUCGGGGCUCAACCGGGCUCCGCCGUUGAAACUGGGGUUCGUGAGUGGGCGAGAAGAAGGGGGAAUGCGUGGUGGAGCGGUGAAAUGCAGAGAUAUCACGCAGAACUCAGAUUGAGAGGGAAGCAUACCGGCGCCCGACGGACGCGGAGGCACGAAAGCGUGGGGAUCGAACAGGAUUAGAGACCCCAGUAGUC